rnacentral:rRNA from 1 species
GAACGGGGAAAGUAGCAAUAUGAGUACUAGUGGCGCACGGGUGAGUAACGCGUGGAUAAUCUGCCUUGAAGAGGGGGAUAACUAGUCGAAAGAUUAGCUAAUACCGCAUAAGACCACAAGAACUGAGGUUCAAGGGGUCAAAGGUUUUUCGCUUCAAGAUGAGUCCGCGUAAGAUUAGCUAGUUGGUGAGGUAAUGGCUCACCAAGGCAACGAUCUUUAACUGGUCUGAGAGGAUGAUCAUUCACACUGGAACUGAGACACGGUCCAGACUCCUACGGGAGGCAGCAGUAGGGAAUAUUGCACAAUGGAGGAAACUCUGAUGCAGCGACGCCGCGUGAGUGAUGAAGGCCUUCGGGUCGUAAAGCUCUGUCGCAGGGGAAUAACACAAUGAAUGUACCCUGUAAGAAAGGAUCGGCUAACUUCGUGCCAGCAGCCGCGGUAAGACGAGGGAUCCUAGCGUUGUUCGGAAUCAUUGGGCGUAAAGCGGGUGUAGGUCCCUUUGUAAGUCAGAUGUGAAAGCCCAGGGCUCAACCCUGGAAGUGCAUUUGAUACUGCGAAGCUUGAGUGCUAGAGAGGUUACUAGAAUUCUUGGUGUAGUGGUGAAAUACGUAGAUAUCAAGAGGAAUACCGGUGGCGAAGGCGGGUAACUGGCUAGACACUGACACUCAGACCCGAAAGCGUGGGGAUCAAACAGGAUUAGAUACCCUGGUAGUCCACGCCGUAAACGAUGGAUACUUGUUGUUGGAGGUAUUGACCCCUUCAGUGACGAAGCUAACGCGUUAAGUAUCCCGCCUGGGGAGUACGGUCGCAAGAUUAAAACUCAAAGAAAUUGACGGGGGCCCGCACAAGCCGUGGAGCAUGUGGUUUAAUUCGAUGCAACACGAAGAACCUUACCUAGGC